CCUGCCCAGUGAACACAAUUAAACGGCCGCGGUAUCCUAACCGUGCAAAGGUAGCGCAAUCACUUGUCCCCUAAAUAGAGACUAGUAUGAAUGGUUAAAUGAGGAUUAACCUGUCUCCUGUGAACAAUCAGUGAAACUGAACUUCCAGUACAAAUGCUGGAAUAAACCCAUAAGACGAGAAGACCCUGUGGAGCUUUAAAACUUACCACGAACCACAACAAUCGUACAAAAGUUUUUAGUUGGGGCAACUUUGAAAAUAAAAACAACUUUCAAGUUAAGGAAAAAGAUUAAACCUAAAACGGCCAACAAGCCAAUAAAACUCGACCCGGUCUUAAUAUGACCGACAAACGAACCAAGUUACCCCAGGGAUAACAGCGCCAUCUUCUUUUAGAGUUCAUAUCAACAAGAAGGUUUACGACCUCGAUGUUGGAUCAGGACACCCAAAUGGUGCAGCCGCUAUUAAUGGUUCGUUUGUUCAACGAUUAACAGUCCUACGUGAU
rnacentral:rRNA from 1 species